AUCCAGAUGAUCAGUCUCAAAUAGGACGAAACGCGUGUCUUGGAU
rnacentral:hammerhead_ribozyme from 1 species